rnacentral:rRNA from 1 species
UUAACUAAGGGAUGACGGAAGAAGAUAGUCAGGACAGCGGUAGGUAGUGCUGUUGAGAGGAUGUAGGGUGACACUUAGGAAAAUCCGGGUGUCGUAAGCCUGAGGUCCAGGACGAGGGUCGUAAGACCCGGAGUUGAUGAGUCUAUGCUCCCAAGAAAAGUCUCGUAGUGAAUCUUGUAUUGAACCGUACCACAAACCGACGCAGGUAGAUGCGGAGAACAUCCUAAGGCGCUUGAGUGAUCCCUGGUUAAGGAACUCGGCAAAUUGACCCCGUAACUUCGGGAGAAGGGGUGCCCCUGAGAGCGAAGUUUAACUAUGUAAGCUCACGGGGGUUGCAGUGAAAUGGUGGUAGCGACUGUUUACUAAAAACACAGGCCUAUGCUAAGUCGUAAGACGACGUAUAUGGGCUGACGCCUGCCCGGUGCUGGAGGGUUAAAAGGAGGAGUUAGUCGCAAGGCGAAGCCCCGAAUUGAAGCCCCAGUAAACGGCGGCCGUAACGAUAACGGUCCUAAGGUAGCGAAAUUCCUUGUCGGGUAAGUUCCGACCUGCACGAAAGGCGUAACGACUUCCACACUGUCUCAACCAGGUGCUCAGCGAAAUUGAAUUCGAAGUGAAGAUGCUUCGUUCCCGUGGAAAGACGAAAAGACCCUGUGAACCUUUACUAUAGCUUGGCAGUGAUAAGCGGGUUUGUUUGUGUAGGAUAGGUGGGAGACUAUGAAGCUUGGGCCUAGCUCAGGUGGAGUCAUCCUUGAAAUACCACCCUGACAAAGCUGCUUGUCUCACUACAACCCAUGAGCUGGGUUUAGGACACUGUCUGGUGGGUAGUUUGACUGGGGCGGUCGCCUCCGAAAGAGUAACGGAGGCGCGCGAAGGUUCCCUCAGGUUGAUUAGAAACCAACCGCAGAGUGCAAAGGCAUAAGGGAGCCUAACUGUGAGACAAACAAGUCGAGCAGGUGCGAAAGCAGGUCUUAGUGAUCCGGUGGUUCCGAAUGGAAGGGCCAUCGCUCAGCGGAUAAAAGGUACUCCGGGGAUAACAGGCUGAUCUCCCCCAAGAGUUCACAUCGACGGGGAGGUUUGGCACCUCGAUGUCGGCUCAUCACAUCCUGGGGCUGAAGUAGGUCCCAAGGGUUUGGCUGUUCGCCAAUUAAAGUGGUACGCGAGCUGGGUUUAGAACGUCGUGAGACAGUUCGGUCUCUAUCUUCCAUGGGCGCCGGAUAUUUGAGAGUGACUCGACCCUAGUACGAGAGGACCGGGUUGAACGUACCUCUGGUGUUCCAGUUGUCCUGCCAAGGGCAUUGCUGGGUAGUCAUGUACGGAAUAGAUAACCGCUGAAAGCAUCUAAGCGGGAAGCUAGCCUCAAGAUUAGAUAUCCCUGAAGAAUACUUGUAGACUACAAGUUCGAUAGGCAUGGUGUGUAAUGGUUGUAAGACCUUUAGCUAACAUGUACUAAUUAUUCGUUUGUCUAU